rnacentral:rRNA from 1 species
CUGUCGGAUUAUUGGGCGUAAGGGAGCGCAGGCGGUUUGAUAAGUCUGAAGUUAAAGGCUGUGGCUCAACCAUAGUACGCUUUGGAAACUGUUUAACUUGAGUGCAGAAGGGGAGAGUGGAAUUCCAUGUGUAGCGGUGAAAUGCGUAAAAUAUGGAGGAACACCGGUUGCGAAAGCGGCUCUCUGGUCUGUAACUGACGCUUAAGCUCCAAAGCCUGGGGAGCCAACAGGAUUAAAUACCCCGGUAGUCCACGCCGUAAACCAUGAGUGCUAGGUGUUGGAUCCUUUCCGGGGUUCAGUGCCGCAACUAACGCAUUAACCACUCCGCCGGGGGAGUACCACCGCAAGGUUGAAACCAAAGGGAAUUUGGGGGG